UACGGGGGGGGGUAAGCGUUGCUCGGAAUUACUGGGCGUAAAGGGCUCGUAGGCGGCCAACUAAGUCAUACGUGAAAUCCCUCAGCUUAACUGGGGAACUGCGUGUGAUACUGGAUGGCUUGGAUUUGGGAGAGGGAUGCGGAAUUCCAGGUGUAGCGGUGAAAUGCGCAGAUAUCAGGAAGAACACCCGUGGCUAAGGCGGCUCUCUAGUACGGUACUGACGCUGAGACGCGAAAGCGUGGGGAGCGAACAGG
rnacentral:rRNA from 1 species